UACGGGGGGAGCAAGCGUUGUUCGGAUUUACUGGGCGUAAAGGGCGCGUAGGCGGUCAGCACAAGUCAGUUGUGAAAUCUCCGGGCUUAACUCGGAAAGGUCAACUGAUACUGUGCGACUAGAGUGCGGAAGGGGCAACUGGAAUUCUCGGUGUAGCGGUGAAAUGCGUAGAUAUCGAGAGGAACACCUGCGGCGAAGGCGGGUUGCUGGGCCGACACUGACGCUGAUGCGCGAAAGCCAGGGGAGCGAACGGGG
rnacentral:rRNA from 1 species